UGUCAGAGAUAUCUGUGAGAUGAAAAACCAGAUAGGAAAAAUUAAUUCGUCAGAUUCGUGAAGAAAGAAUCGAACAAUGGUCCUGCAUACGGGACAAUAAUUACGGUACAUAGUUACAUACUUCUGGUUGUUGAUAUACGAGCCACGAGAGUGGCGGGGAUGUUGAUUGACAACUCCCUCGGGAAUAUGAGAUCAGGUAGCAAACGAGAGACGAGAAAAGGUCGAACGAAGGAACGGUUUCAGUGUCAAAUAUUGAGAGAGGGAAGGAUGAAGAGUCGAGUUACGAAUCGAGGAAAAGGGAAACUGAAAGAGAAUGGAAGUCGAGGGAAUAUGUAAAACGCAGGAGAGUGGAGUUGAAACGAAGCUGUAAUUCCGAGACAGAAGAUCGCGUAGUCGCGGUAAGAGACGUCGCUACAAGUUUCCUGGAUGCUCCUUCUCUCAAGAGAGGAGGGAGGCAACAGAAGUAACAGGGAAAAAUAAGUUGAAGCUCAUAACCGCAUAAAAGAGGAGCGUUGAGUAAACAAGGCAAAAGACUAACCUAAAAGGGUGACUCGAGGAGCGGGAACGCGGUAAAGCGGAAACAAUGUAACGAAACGAGAUAUGAAUAAUCAGAGGAAAUCUAACGGUGCUGUUUUAAAACUACGUAUCGUAUAGCGAGCUAAUGAAACCGUGCACCGUGUUCCAACGAAAGGACUGCUGCGAGAACUUUUAAAAAUCCUUCUCGUAUCGAACAGGUGAAUUUCUGUUUAAAUUCAAUGCGAUGCAAAAAUCAAUCAGCGAUCUAAGGUUGAGAAAUAUUAGAGAGAGAACAUUCGAAGAAACGUAAGGUUAGAUGUUGCGUCGCGCGCUUCUCUGGUAACUCAAUUACACGGAGAGCCUGGUUAUGAGAAAAUACUGUAGCCUGCCGAAGUCUCGGACGAAGAUUGCGUGGGACGAAUUUAGAAGAAGAUGAGCGAAUGGCAAACAGCGCUAAAAAUUCAUCAUCGAGCCGGAGAACAAGUGAGAAGAGGAUCUUCGAGUAACUGGAUCGCCUGAAAACUCUGUAUAAAACGCAUGAGAUAUUCCUCGGGCAACCGGCGAGAAUGUCAAAAACUUUCGAUCAGAAGACAUACGAAAAUGAACAUCGAUGAAGUUUUAUCCGCGGGCGAGGAAUAGCGUGGGCGAAUUACCCCGGGAAAUGACA
rnacentral:misc_RNA from 1 species